rnacentral:rRNA from 1 species
CUGUCCUCAAGGAAGAUAAUGACGGUACUUGAGGAGGAAGCCCCGGCUAACUACGUGCCAGCAGCCGCGGUAAUACGUAGGGGGCUAGCGUUAUCCGGAUUUACUGGGCGUAAAGGGUGCGUAGGCGGUCUUUCAAGUCAGGAGUGAAAGGCUACGGCUCAACCGUAGUAAGCUCUUGAAACUGGGAGACUUGAGUGCAGGAGAGGAGAGUGGAAUUCCUAGUGUAGCGGUGAAAUGCGUAGAUAUUAGGAGGAACACCAGUUGCGAAGGCGGCUCUCUGGACUGUAACUGACGCUG